GCGAGUAAUUGACCGCUAUCAUUUAUUUGAUAGAGGAAAGUCCAUGCUUGCACAGACUGCGAUGUCUGUAGUGUUUCUGUAGGUCAAAUAAAUAGAACCUAGCAUCUCUAACUUGAUGACGGCCACUAAAUACCUAAGGUUAGUAAUAAUACGGUAAAUGGUGUGAAAGUACCACAGUGACGAAUUAAUGGGAAACCAUUAAGUGAAACGCGGCAAACCCCAGAAGCAAGAAACCUAAAUUUUGGUAAGGGAACGGAUAGUUAAAAACUGAAUUAAUUAUUCGACUAAUAAGAAAAUUAUUAGUAGACAAAUGGUCAAUAUUAAUUUCGUAAGAAAUUAACACAGAACAUGGCUUAUGCU
rnacentral:RNase_P_RNA from 1 species